CCUACGGGAGGCAGCAGUGGGGAAUAUUGGGCAAUGGGCGCAAGCCUGACCCAGCAACGCCGCGUGAAGGAAGAAGGCUUUCGGGUUGUAAACUUCUUUUCUCAGGGACGAAGCAAGUGCCGGUACCUGAGGAAUAAGCCACGGCUAACUACGUGCCAGCAGCCGCGGUAAUACGUAGGUGGCAAGCGUUAUCCGGAUUUACUGGGUGUAUAGGGCGUGUAGGCGGGACUGCAAGGCAGAUGUGAAAACCACGGGCUCAACCUGUGGCCUGCAUUUGAGACUGUAGUUCUUGAGUACAGGAGAGGCAGACGGAAUUCGUAGUGUAGCGGUGAAAUGCGUAGAUAUUAGGAAGAACACCAGUGGCGAAGGCAGUCUGCUGGACAGAAACUGACGCUGAGGCGCGAAAGCGUGGGGAGCAAACAGGAUUAGAUACCCUUGUAGUC
rnacentral:rRNA from 1 species